rfam:Triticum aestivum genome assembly, contig: Triticum_aestivum_CS42_TGACv1_scaffold_514661_6BS
AAACUACUUCCUCCGUCUGGAAAUACUUGUCAUCAAAAUAAAUAAAAAAGGAUGUAUCUAGAUGUAUUUUAGUUCUAGAUACAUCUCUUUUUAUCCAUUUUGAUGACAAGUAUUUUCGGACGGAAGGAGUAUAUC